rnacentral:rRNA from 1 species
UACGAAGGUGGCAAGCGUUGUUCGGAUUUACUGGGCGUACAGGGAGCGUAGGCGGUUGGAUAAGCCCUCCGUGAAAUCUCCAGGCUUAACCUGGAAAGUGCAGAGGGGACUGUUCAGCUAGAGGAUGGGAGAGGAGCGCGGAAUUCCGGGUGUAGCGGUGAAAUGCGCAGAUAUCAGGAGGAACACCAAUUGCGAAGGCAGCUCGCUGGGACGUUACUGACGCUGAGACGCGAAAAGCGUGGGGGAGCAAACAGG